GUGCCAGCCGCCGCGGUAAUACAGAGGGUGCGAGCGUUAAUCGGAAUUACUGGGCGUAAAGCACGCGUAGGCGGUUUUGUAAGUCGGGUGUGAAAUCCCCAAGCUUAACUUGGGAACUGCAUUCGAGACUGCAUAGCUAGAGUAUGGGAGAGGGAAGUGGAAUUUCAGGUGUAGCGGUGAAAUGCGUAGAUAUCUGAAGGAACAUCAGUGGCGAAAGCGACUUCCUGGACCAAUACUGACGCUCAUGUGCGAAAGCGUGGGGAGCAAACAGGAUUAGAUACCCUGGUAGUCC
rnacentral:rRNA from 1 species